GAUUCUCUCCCAGACCCUAUAAUGUCACAUGUGACAUCUAUAGAACCUAUCUUUAUGGAAGAGGUGACAUGUGUGUUACCAUGUAAGCUUUGUCGUACAGACAGAAUUGAGCUAAUUAUCACCAGAAAACAUUCCCACCCCCCAUGGUGCUGUGCUUAAACACACCUAAAAUAAAUGACACAAUGUGAGACUCUCAAAGUUCAAACUGCCACUGGCUACUGAGUGAGGUUUAGCUAGACUCCAUUCUUGCUUCGAGCAGAUCAACACUCAGCGGGCUGUGGUAUUUGCAGAGACCCCUACAGUCUCCUGGGAAAUGAAGCUCAAGGACAAAGAGGUGGGGAAAUUCUACAGAUUUGCUGGCAGCUUUACCAACAUUAAAAGAGAGAUGAAACAGCUAGUCCAGAAAACACCGGCACAGCUGGAUUACCAGCAUCCUAAUCAUGGAGUCAGAUUUUUGGUAUGACUGGAAGAAUUUAAAGAAGUUUCAGAGAAAGCAUCUAAUUGGUCUGCAGAUCAAAGGGUAGCAUUUCCCAGUGGACUUCUUCCUUCAGCAGCUUCAACAAAUUCUUUAGUGAUAAAAGCCGGCAGUCGGCUAAGGCACAGGCACUGAUCUGCAGUAGGAAUGGAUGUCUUGCAUAUCCAGCCAUCCAAUGUGUGUAUGUGUUUGCUAUAAGAAGAAGGGGCUGGUCUAAACUGGAGCCAGGGAAGAAGGUUACAAUAACAAAUAACACACCUGACUAUGU